rnacentral:rRNA from 1 species
UAAGUAGGCGGUGGAAAAUGAACCAAAUGGGAUUCCUUAAGUAAUUGCGAAUGAACAAGGAAAUGCUCAGCUUGAAAAUUGGGGCCUUUGGCUUUGAAUUGUAAUUUUGAAAUGUAUUGCCAAUGGAGGCGCAGGUGCAAGCCUAUUGAAAGAAAGCGUCAAUGAGGGUGAGAUUCCUUUUUGUCAUUUGCAGUCCUCCGUGCACGGUAUAUAUUUGACGAGUCACACUCCUCGGCAUUGGAAUGCAAAGUGGGUGGUAAAUUCCAUGUAAAGGUAAAUAUAUUAUUGAGACUGAUAGCAAACAAGUACCAUGAGGGAAAUAUGAAAAGGACUUUGAAAAGAGAAUUAAAAGAGUCUGCAUUUGCUGAACAGAAAGCAAACAGAAUUGAUCUUCCUUGGUGAGAUUGUUGUGUCCACUCUUGCAUCUUUAUGUUGGAUGUGGGUGCGAUGGUUCUUGCCUUGAAUGUCAGCUUCCAUUUCUGCAAAUCAUUAUCCUUGCACAUGAAUGGUAAUUUGCCUGCGGGUAUUGGAAUGCGUGUGUUUGCAAUGAUUUGUGAUUUGAUACAUGUGUCUGGUGUAUCUGUGCGUGCUACCUUGCUAAAGGGGAAGGCUUUCAUCCCUGAGCACCACAAGCCCUUGCACAAUGUUGCUGGCAAAAUGUUUCUGCUUGACCCG